CGAACGGUCACGGAAAUGAACCGACGGCGACGAAGAGGAAGGCGAAACGGUGAGGUGAAGCGGGCUGAGCCUAAUCGGAGAUGACGGAAAGUGACGGAGAGGAACGAGGGGUAAAGAGGGGUGACGAAAAGAGCCGAAGCUGGUGAAGCGGAGGGAGGGAAGAUGGCCGACAGGAGCCGGAGGGGCUUCGGGGGCUCGGCCGAGUGGGGGACGCCGGAGCCCGCGCUCUGCAGCGCCGGGACGCGGCUGCGCGGGGCGCUCCUCGCCCUCCCUGUCUCCCUAAGACACGUUUUCCUCCCGGGGGCACAAGAUGCAGAACGCGGAGGUCGCCAUCUUGGCCGCGUUCGAGCCCCGGGUGCGCGGGUCGCGCGGCGCCGCCGUCUGUCUGCAGAACGUUCGCACCUUCCCGAGCCGAACAGCUGCGUUCCGCGUCCCCGAGCCCGGGGCCGCGUGUCUUCUACGUUCCGGCCUCAGUGGGACCUCCCAGGCACGGAGGUGGCCGCGGCGCUGAGACCUCCCGGGUACGGAGGUCUUCCAGGCAUCAGCUCCACAAAGACCCGACUCCAAGUGAGGUCCCAUCCGAGGUGCCGGGUGGACGUGGCCUGCGGGAGAUGCUUUUCCACGCACUGCAGCGGUGUUGCCGGUGAGCUGGAGGUCAGGGCUCCGACAAGGAAGGAGACGGAUUUCUCACUCUGCGUCUCCUUGCAAACAGCGGAGUGGCCAGUCACAAAGCGAACGCCUUCAACGUGUGUGGAUCCGGGAAAGGUAUAAUCAACAGACCCGCAUUUCAUUUAUUUAUUUAUUUAGUAUUUAUUAUUAUUUUUUUCUUUUUCUUUUUUUUUUUUUUUUUAAAGACGGGGUUUCACCAUGUCGGUCAGGCUGGUGUUGAACUCCCGACCUCAGGUGAUCCGCCCACCAUGGCCUCCAAAGUGCUCGGAUUACAGGUGGGAGCCACCACACCCGGCCUCAUUUAUUUAUUUAUGAGACGGAGUCUCGCUCUGUCACCAGGCUGGAGGGCAGUGGGGUGAUCUCAGCAGCUCACAGCAGCGUCCACCUCCCGGGUUCAAGAAUUUCUCCUGCCUCAGCCUCCGGAGUAGCUGGGGUGCCAGGCGCCCGCCAACACGCCCGGCUGAUUUUUUGUAUUUUUAGUAGAGACGGGGUCUCACCAUGUUGGUCAGGCUGGUCUCGAACCCCUGACCUCGUGAUCGUCCCGCCUCAGCCUCCCAAACUGCCGACAUUACAGGCGUGAGGCACCGUGCCCGGCUUCAUUUAUUGAUUUUGAGACGGAGUCUCUUGUCACCCAGGCUGGAGUGCAGUGGCGUGAUCUUGGCUCGCUGCAGCCUCCGCCUCCCGGGUUCAAGCGAUCCUCCUGCCUCAGCCUCCCGAAUAGCUGGGAUCAUAGGCGCCCGUGACCAACCCUGACCUAAAUUUUGUAUUUUUUUUAUUAGACACAAGGUUUCACUGUGCGGGUCCUACUGCUCUUGAACUCGUGAUUUCAAGGCAUCCGCCUGCCUCGGCCUCUCAGAGUUCUCUCUUUUCUCUAGUAAAGGGGUAAGAGCCACCUUCGGAGACAGCAGUUCGUACCCUUUUUACGUCAUUUUGCUUCUCAGGACUGAGAGGGGGGACGGAGUUGGUGCUGGUUUUGAAGAAGCCAGCUCAGGCCGGGCGCGGUGGGUCACGCCCGUCACCCCAGCACUUUGGGAGGCCGAGGCGGGCGGAUUACCUGAGGUCAGGAGUUCGAGACCAGCCUGGCCAACACGGUGAAACCCCGUCUCUACUAAAAAUACAAAACAUUAGGCAGGCGUGGUGGCGGGUGUUGUGAUCCCAGCUACUCGGGAGGCUGAGGCAGGAGAAUCUCUCAAACCCGGGAGGCAGAGGUUGUGGCGAGCCGGGAUCUCACCACUGCACUCCAGCCUGGGCGACGGAGCCAGACUCCAUAUCAAAAUAAAGAAAGAAAGAAAAUAAACGUUUAUCUCCACCUGGGGUCCCUCGUAGCUACUGGAGGGGCUGCUCCCCUUCCUCAGUAUUCGAAACUCAAACACGGGGUGAUGGAACGUUCCCGUGGAGAAGAGGGCUUUGUGCCACACGUAGUGCCCCCAUCAGGAGCUUCCGGGCCGGGCGUCGGGAGGGGUCGGCAAACACGCCUCGCAAGGCACAAGGGUCCUGUCAACAGGGAAGUCCCGGCACUUCCAGGGCCCCACGCUCGGGCCACUUAACUCAAGCACCUUGCACAACCCUCGGCCGCACCAAGGCACGGACGAGACGUCCCUCAGCCCGCCGCAGGUCCCCGCCCACUGUCCGGCCCACACCCGGCCGCCCGGGACACAGAGGGGCAGGAAGGGCCGGGCCCCGUGACCACAGGUCCACAUCAUACCAGGACAGAGGGAGGACAGGCCCCGUGACCAGGGUCCACGUCACACCAGGACACAGAGGGAGGACAGGCCCCGUGACCAGGGUCCACAUCACACCAGGACAUGGAGGGAGGACAGGCCCCGUGACCAGGGGUCCACGUCACACCAGGACACGGAGGGAGGACAGGCCCCGUGACCACAGGUCCACAUCAUACCAGGACAGAGGGAGGACAGGCCCCGUGACCAGGGUCCACGUCACAGCAGGACACGGAGGGAGGACAGGCCCCGUGACCAGGGUCCACGUCACACCAGGACACAGAGGGAGGACAGGCCCCGUGACCACAGGUCCACGUCACACCAGGACACAGAGGGAGGACAGGCCCNNNNNNNNNNNNNNNNNNNNNNNNNNNNNNNNNNNNNNNNNNNNNNNNNNNNNNNNNNNNNNNNNNNNNNNNNNNNNNNNNNNNNNNNNNNNNNNNNNNNNNNNGGUCCACGUCACACCAGGACACAGAGGGAGGACAGGCCACGUGACCAGGCUCCACGUCACACCAGGACACAGAGGGAGGACAGGCCCCGUGACCAGGGUCCACGUCACACCAGGACACGGAGGAAGGGCUGGGCCAUGUCCAUGUCACACCAGGACACAGAGUAAGGGCCAGGCCACGUCCCCGUCACACCAGGACACAGGGGAAAGCCGGGUGUGGUGAGCUGUCACGAACCCACUCCUCGUGACAGCGUGGCAGAGCGGGAGAUGGUCCGGGCUCCGUGACCAUGCGAGGAGGCGUGGAAGCCCCUGCUCCUGCACCACGCCAGGGCACGGGUCAUGUCAUGGGCCUCUCAGGGCUAUGGGAGGAGGCGGGAAACGGGAGAGACGGGUUGCCAGGGACUCGGUGAAGGGAGGAGGGAGGAGGGGGAAGGAGAGAGGAGGGAGGAAGGAAAGAUGGGCCACAAGGAAGCCGUGGGGGGCUUUGGGCAGAGAGAGGGGUCUCAAGGUUUGAGAGCGGAAGGAGGAGGCGGAGGAUGGAGGAGGAGGAGGAGGAGGAGGAGGAGGGGGAGUGGGAGCAGGGAGGAGGGCAGGGCGUGGGGGGCUGAGGCGCCUGAGUUACAAGGGAAGGAAAGGCAGACGCACGUGGCCUGUGGCUUGGUGGCCGGCCAGACGUCCCCACGUGCAGGACAGCAGCCGCCCCGAGGCGCCCCAGAACUGGGGUGAGGGCGGAAACACGUAUGGGGUGCAGGAGCCCCGUGUAUGGUGACGUGGGAGAAUCCCACCUGAGAAUGCAGGAUCCCAAGGCAGCCCUCAAAUCUUCCGUGCACUCCACCCCCACUUUAUUUUUAAUUUUAUUUGAGACAGAGUUUUCCUCUUGUCGCCCAGGCUGGAGUUCCGUGGCGUGAUCUCAGCUCACUGCGACCUCCGCCUCUCGGGUUCAAGCGAUUCUCCUGCCUCAGCCUCCCGAGUAACUGGGAUUAUAGGCGCGCCCCACCACGCCCGGCUAAUUCUGUAUAUUUUAGUAGAUAGGGGGUUUCUCAUGUUGUUCGGGCUGGUCUUGAACUCUUGACUCAGGUGGUCCUCCUGCUUCGGCCUCCCGAACUGCUGGGAUUUCAGGUGUGAACCAACACACCCAGUCUAGGGUUAUUCAAAGGCCCAGGGGCUUUAAAUUGCAAUUAUUUUUAUUUUAUUUUAUUUUUUGAGACGGAGUUUCCCUCGUUGUCCAGGCUGGAGUGCGGUGGCGAGACCUCAGCCCACGGCAGCCUCCGCCACCCGGGAUCAAGCGAUUCUCCUGCCUCUGCCUCCCGAGUGGCUGGGAUGACAGGCAGCCGCCACCACGCCCGGCUAAUCCGUGCGGUCUCUGAGGCCCAUGCUGGCCCUGACCCGGUGUCCAGCCUGGUGUGGGAGACGGCGGGUUACGUGGCAGCACCUGCGGAGUGGACACAGAGGAAGCAGCCGGGAGGAGGCAGGAACGGGGGCCCUGGACAGACCCCUGACCCGGGCUGCUGUCAGCUCCGGGUCAGCUCAGGGUGGGGGAGUCUGGGGUGGACUGUGCUGGGACAAGCCACUGUCACCGUCAGAGGCGGUGUGGGCCGCUCAGGACACGGACAAGGGCCACGCGAGGUGGGAGAGGCCGGAACCCGAAGAGCGUUUGCUAGCCCAGGCGUUCAGAGCCCGCCGGCCCCCCGCCUUCCCCCCAGGCCUGAGAUGAAACCCCCUGCCCUGUUGCCCAACCCCGUCCUGUGGCUUCCAGGAAACGACCCCAGCAGUGCACAAUGGCUGAGUGGAACCCAUCACUCAGAGACCUGUUGCCAGGCAUGGUGGCUCAUGCCCAGCACAUUGUGAGGCUGAGGCGGGCGGAUCAUGAGGUCAGGAGUUCCACACCAGCCUGACCAAUAUGAUGAAACCCCCUGUCUGCUCAAAAUACAAAAAUUAGCGGGGCGUGUUGGCACGGGCCUGUAAUGCCAGCUAUUCAGGAGGCUGAAGCAGGAGAAUCGUUUGAACCCCGGAGGCCGAGGUUUCGGUGAGCCAAGACUGCACCACUGCACUCCAGCGAGGGUGACAGAGUAAGACUCCAUCUCAAAAAAAUAAAUAAAUAAAAAAAAUAAAAGAGCCUCCAUGUCUCCUCCAACGGCCCCUCUGACCAGAGAGACCCCCAUGGGCACACGUAGAAUUUGACUGGGACAGGCUCAUCCCUGGAUGUUGACUGGAGGCUGCUCUUGAACUCCUGACCUCACUUGAUCCACCUGCCUCGGUUUCCCAAACUGCUGGGAUUGCAGGUGAGAGCCACCGCGCCCUGGCCAGCCUCACCAUCUUUUAGUCGAUUCUUAUCAUGCAAAACCUUCCCCUGCGUCCAGAACCCACACACCUGCAGAGGCAACGGCUAC
ensembl:lincRNA